GACGAACGCUGGCGGCGUGCUUAACACAUGCAAGUCGAACGGAAAGGCCUCUUUCGGGGGGUACUCGAGUGGCGAACGGGUGAGUAACACGUGAGUAACCUGCCCUUGACUUUGGGAUAACUUCAGGAAACUGGGGCUAAUACCGGAUAGGAGCUCCUGCUGCAUGGUGGGGGUUGGAAAGUUUCGGCGGUUGGGGAUGGACUCGCGGCUUAUCAGCUAGUUGGUGGGGUAGUGGCUUACCAAGGCUUUGACGGGUAGCCGGCCUGAGAGGGUGACCGGCCACAUUGGGACUGAGAUACGGCCCAGACUCCUACGGGAGGCAGCAGUGGGGAAUAUUGCACAAUGGGUGGAAGCCUGAUGCAGCAACGCCGUGUGCGGGAUGACGGCCUUCGGGUUGGAAACCGCUUUCGCUCAUGACGAAGCUUUGUGUGACGGUAGUGGGUAAAGAAGCACCGGCUAACUACGUG
rnacentral:rRNA from 1 species